rnacentral:tRNA from 1 species
GGCGCUGUGGCUCAAGUGGUAGAGCGUCAGCCUUGAGCUGAAGAGCCUGAGGGACAGCGCCC